rnacentral:rRNA from 1 species
UACAGAGGGGGCGAGCGUUGUUCGGAAUUACUGGGCGUAAAGGGCGCGUAGGCGGCUUGCUAAGUCGGACGUGAAAUCCCUCGGCUCAACCGGGGAACUGCGUCCGAUACUGGCGAGCUUGAAUUCGGGAGAGGGAUGUGGAAUUCCUGGUGUAGCGGUGAAAUGCGCAGAUAUCAGGAGGAACACCGGUGGCGAAGGCGGGUCUCUGGGCCGAUACUGACGC